GUCGCUCCAGCGUGGUCAGCUUCUCGUUAAGGGUAGCGAGCCGGGAGCGGCAGGACAUGUCUGCGGGAAGAAGGGUCGGGUCAGAGACUGCACCAGGCUCAGGCCCCGCGGUACCCGGCCAGGACAGGCCUAGAGAUAGUAAACAAUCGACGGUAAGCCGCAUGGAUUGGAGAGCUUCGUCGAACGUUGAAGCUUUGAGGAGGCAAUUGUCGAGGUGUCUGGAGACCUAAGGACCGGAGGGUUGCCCUUGAGUCCUUCAUUGAGUGAAGCACGUUGUUUGUGGCGGAAGCAAAAAGUUUUUUUACUGUCAAAGGGAAGAUCUUCAAUGGUGCUUUGGACCUCUCGAGGAAAGAAAGAGGAGGAGAGCCAUGAACCACGGCGCAUGACCACUGCUGUGGCGGUCGAUCUUGCUGCAGUGUUGGCUACAUCGAGGUCCGCUUGAAGAGCGGUACGUGAUAUGAUUUCUCCCUCGGAAACCAGAGCUGUGAAUUGUUGUUUUUUCUGUUCUGGGAUGUCGUCAAUAAAGUCCAUGAAUUUA